GAAGUUAAUGUGGGAUGUUUUUAAUAUAAACAACUUUUCAUUUUAUUUUGUUAUUAGAGUUCUCCUUGUUCACAUAAUCUGUCUAUUUCCUCUUUGACUCAGCAAAUGCACCAGUGUUAACAGUCAAGAUAAAGCAUUUUAGCUGUUAAACACAUUGCAUGUAGGAGUAGCAAAAUAACCUGAGGUGUAUGGUAAAUUCAUCUGGCAUUGUUGGAAACAAUUUUUUCAUUUGUUUUUAUAAAAUAAGUUAAUUGUUUUCUCAUUACUAACUCUGACUUCCUUACCACAAGACAAAUAAACAAUCUGAGGACUGAUUAAAGGUCUCUAGAAAAUUGUACACUUUUAUCAUCUGAUCACUUGGUCUUAUGACCAGUGUAAUUUUAUUAGAACAGACAGUGAUUGUACUAGAUAGCAGCGGACUCGGAGUACACCUAUGUUCUGUGUUGUUCAACAUAAACUUAAAAGGUCUGUUUUAUGAUCACUGUUCACGUCGUGUGACUGGAAGUAGUGUGGAAUUUUGCUUGGGUCUAUAAAAUUACCUGUGCUUGAAACCCCACCACUGUUUUUUUUCUGCUACACAUUUGCUGGUACAUAACUGCAUGCUUGAGAGUAGGUUUGCUGAAUGAGCGUUCUACAGCAAAACAGCCAUGCUGUCAUGUUGGAAAUGAACAGUAAAAAGAACAGAAUAAAAGAGUUCAGGAAUACCUUGGAGAAGGAGAGACUGAGGGACUAGUCAGAGAAAUUAUUUUAGCAGUUUUGCGCUAACACGCUAACCUUUACUUUCUGUGUAGUUAGGUAAGAGAAAGCCACAAGCAGACUGUAGUGACUUUCUUCCCAAGUGCAGGAUUUUCUCUACACAUCAGUUUUUGAUGGUAUCUGUGAUCAAAGGGACGUGCGCUGUUCAUACGCUUCCUCUGUACUUCAGAACUGGUGGUGACCUGGAGGGUGCACAAGUGCCCUUGUGUGGUUGCCUGGAAACUUUGGCCCACACAAGUGUCAACUUUCUUUCAUGGCUAUAAAGGCAGACGGAGCCUCACAGAGAGCUUUAGUCUUAGAGAAAAAAAGGUCCUUGUGUGUUUUAAAACAAGUGUCUCACCAGGAGAUAAUGGUAGAGCAGUGGGUUAUAAAUGAUGUAUUUUGUUCACUUCGCCUUGAUAAUGGCACAAGGGAAAAAAAGUUCAUCGUUCUCUUAUCAAAAUACUGUGACAUUUCUCCUUCAACUGUAAAAUUUCCUAUCACAUUCCUCUGCUGCAACAGCAACUAAAUUUACUCGAUUGUGGAGACUACAUAAUCUCUCAUCAAAAGGUGUCUUUUUUAUUCUUUCUUUUCUCCCUACUUACACUUCAGGAGAAGCACCAAGGUUGCUAAAAACAUCAGCGAAUUAAUUUUUCUUCUAAGGCUCAUAUAAAUUAACUAGUAACUAUUAUACUGUGCCACACAGACUCUUCCUCUUGGCCAAGGGCAGUGUGCCAUCUUCACUCGUCAUGUUUGGUUUUAACACUGACCACAUUCACUGCUUCUGAUGCGUUUUUAAAUAAGAAAAUUAUAAACGAAUGUGUCUACUGAUUGUUGAAGACCAAAAGCACUGAAGAGCAGUUGAACCUCUCUAGAGUACUAAGUUAUUUUCAGUAAGUACAGAUUUGUGUUUGAUACAAUGUGUGACAUUUCUAUUCCUGCAAUUAAAUAACUUUCUGUAACAUUUCCAGCUUGCGAAAGUGCAGAUCUGCAUGUUCUUCUUGGGGAAGCAUGUUCAUUUAAGUUUUUGCCUGCCAUCUGCCCAAAGAAUGGUUCCCAAAACACGUUUCCACAGCACACUGGCAGUGCUCCGCUGGGGACGUCUGUGUGAAUGCGGGCGCAUUGUUUGGGGCUGUUUCCAGUGUGGCUGUUCUGAGCCAGCUGACGUCCAUGCAAAGGGAUUCCACCGGCUUUGGAUAAAAUUUGCCUUUUUCUCUACAAACUACCAGUAAGCUUGCAUGUAUAGGCUAUAUUUCGUCUGUGUGAGCUGUUGCUCUGAUACAAAGGGACAACCACUUACAAAACCAGAGGACGUAUUACCACAAAAUACUUGUCUGCUUCCAUGACUGUGAUAGUAAGCACCAUAAAAUAAAGUGUUCAAAGUAUGUGUCAAUUUGUAUUUUGAGAUUUACUACUAUAAUGAUUCUAAGAGUACUGAAAAAACUGUAAAGACAUUUUUUGCUUUGUAAGCAAAAUUCCCACCGAGAAUGUCCCACCCGGCAGAUUUGGCCCACAUCUCUAGUUUCCAGUGGUGGUAUAUGUAAGGAUACUGGGUAACUGCAGAAUAUUGUUGUUAGUUGCUGAAAUGUUUAUAAAAGUGCAUACUAUACUAUUGCUAAAAUGUAGAGGUAAAUUUCUAGAUGGGAAUGCAUCUUGGAGAAAGUAGUAGCUUAAUGAAAGCGUGUAAAGUUGCUUCGAGUUCUGCAGGCAGAAAAAUCUUUUGUUUCUUCCAACACAGCAAAUAUUGGAGAAGUUAUAAUGCUAAUGUAAUGAUUGACUUCUUACAAUGGAUCCUGCUCAGAAUUACAAUGUUCUCAGAAUUAAUCUCCAGAGACAUCUAGAGGAUAUGUGACAUUCCCUGCAGGACUUGGAGCCUUGAACUUCAAUAAUAGUCACUAUAGCAUUUAAAAGAAACACACACACACCAUUAAUUAAGUGAAAAUGCCCCAAUACCAAAUGACAGCAUGGAUAAAAUCUACAUAUAUGUGUGAAUGUGUUCUGUGCCUGGCCUGUAAAUGUUCUGUUUCAACCAACUGUGACUUUUUAUAUUUUAGAGAAGAGUUUUCUGCUGACUGGAUCAUCGUUUGGGAGAAAUUUGAAGUGAUGUAAUAUAAGAGCACCAAUGUUUUGUGAUACAUGUGACAGCUGGGGUUGAAACUGGAGAUAAGUGAAGUUCAUUUGAUGUUACAUGUCACAUGGCUUUUGGAAGAUCUGUUGUCUUUAGUCAUAAUCUCCUGAAACAAAAGCUUACGUGUGGACUGUUUGUGAAGUGCAUAACACUGUUUUCGUGUUUUACAAGAGAAGGCACAGCCAUCUGUUGCAUUUGGAAAACUGUUAAAGAUAUUUUUAUGCAAAACAUUUAUUUUAUUAACAGUGCAACUCAAGAAAAGCUCUUGGUUUAAAAUUACUUUUACAUUUUUAUUAGUUGAAACUAUAAGAUUACUUUGUAAUUGAAUUUUUAUUUGAGUUGGAAUGGUCAGUGGAAAUGAUCGGCAUACCCAAUACUCCCAUUGCUAUGCAAAAGUAGUUUUGUUUUUCUUGAAUACAGGAAAUUAUGCAGUGCAUGCAAAUAUUAAUCAAUGAAUAUACACUUUAAAUAAUUUGGGCUUGGGACUUACAUUAUUUUUAAAUAGUUUGGAAAAGUGCAUAACAGUUACAGACUGUGUUGAGGACACUUUUGAGUAAGGCAAAGUCAAGAUGCUUGUUCCUACUUUACCUGCUCACAAGUACAGGUAUUUUUUAGUUGUUUUUUUUUUUAAUCUGUUUGCUGUCAAGUGGCCACAAUUGCUGAAUUGCAUUUUACUUUCAUACUUCGAUAUCAAAUGUUAAUACAAUGGAGGAAACUUUAAAAAAAGGUUUAAAAAAAAAAAUAAUGGUAUGCAGUAUGAUCAGUAUUGUCCCCUGACAAAGAAGCUUGUGGCCAAUCAGCUCCUCAACUACCUUUGCCUUAGAAAAAGUUCACAUUAAAAAGUAGCUAUAAUAAAUAAAACUUGCUUUCAGUCCCAUACACAGGACCGAUGGUUUGCUCUGUGGAAUAAGACUGUAUGUAGUGGGGCUCUCUUCCAUAUUAUAAAAUAGUUGUAGGUAGAGGGGAUGGAAGUUCUUAAGCUAGAAGCAGUGCAGGAAGGGAGCCUCAGAAAUAGGAUGCAAAGAAAGUUAUAAAAGAGAAGAGCCAUUCUGUCUGGAUUUCCAGCUGGGUGAUGAUGGAGCAUGGGCCCUUGUGAGGUUGGAAGGCCAGCAGGGAGGUAGGUGUCCUUGAAAGAUGGAGUGUGUAAGUGUGGUUCAGUUGCAAAGUCUGUGGCACUGUUAGAGUUAUUGCAGUAAUGCUGAAUUUUAUGAUUCGCUGAUACUGUCUUGUGGAAACAAAAAGAAAGGUCUAAGAGGAAAACCAGAAGGCCCUUGUAAAAAAAAAAAAAAAAAAAAAAAGAGAAAAAAAAAAAAAAGAAAAAAAGGACGCUCUCAUUCUGUAUAGUUAAAAUGAACUUCUGUUGUAUUGUGUAAAUUAGUUUUGCACUUGUAACACUAAGAUGGUUUGAUAGAAAGAACAUUUUUGCUUGAAGGUACACACAGUAUCAAAUGAGGUAAAAAGAGAAGGGUUCAUUGAAGGAAAUGGAGGCACCAGCAGCUUUUACUCCUACAUUGCCUAUCUUACAUAGCCUUGAGCAUGUGAACACACUUCCAAUAAAGAGAAAGGAAAAGUCACUGGGAAGCCCCAGAAAGUUGCUCCUUCUUUUUUUCUCCUACACUUCCUUUCACAUUAUGUGUGUAAUACAUGGGUACAUAAAUAGCCCAUGUAACCCUUCUCUUCCCCCCUUUCUGGCCCACCUUCUCUCUAUUUUUUCCAACAGAUAAUCUGAUUUACAACAUAAUUAUGUUCGCUAAUUAAUAAUGUGCAGCUCAGGAGAAGGAAAGUCAUUUAGUAUGGAAAAAUUAUGAUGUAGAAUUAAGGGUUCAGAUAUGUGAACAUGUUUUGGUGGAAUAGCAAGUUUCCUACACUGUCUAACUGUUGGUAACUGUCCAUUAUUACACUUUAGAUCAUGAAUUUAGAGUGAUUUGAUUCAGUCCUUUGGCCAGCAUUCAUUUACCCAGCUUCUUUUUUCCCUUCUUCAAGCUGCAAGUCCAAAACGCAGUGCAGUUCUACAUUUAUUGACUUCAGAAAAAGGACUUGAUGCCUCAGAAAUGUCAUUAUAUGCAAAAUGUCUGCAGAGUGGGGAAGGUAAAAUAAUUGGUAGCAACUUUCUUCCAGUGGAAAGUGAAGUCCAAUGCAACAGUAUAAACCUUAAAGCUCUAGGGCAGAUCACUAGAAAAUGUUCUGUUGUGUGCAAUGGGUUGUAGUGGAUGAGUUUUGUAAAACUGAAUAGUGUUGCCUUGGUGUAAUUGUUAUGAAUGUAAACAUAUGUGAAAGGGGAGAAGGCGGUAGUAUAAAAGUAUAAAGACUGUAUAAAGUAUAAAGACGGUAGUAUAAAGACUGGAAUUUCUUCCUUUAAAAUAUACCCUCAUGUCAAAAGCUACUUUCUUGCACAGUAAAUUGGAUCACAGCAAAUACAUUAUUGAUUAUGUUAUUGUAAAUCAUUUGCAGGUGAGAGAUAUUUUGUAUUAUUACUUGUUCAGAGUCCAACAAUCAUGAGAUAAAAAGGACAAAUUGGAAUUUCACUUGAUGGAGUCCUGCACAUCAGAUAUUCUUCUAUCUGAAGCUGCCAGUAGUGCAGCAGAAAUGCCUAAGUGGUAUUAGGUAGAAAACUGACAGCAGCCUGCAUUUCUGGAACUGGACAGCAGAAAUCAGACCUAAUGCAAGGGAGCAGUCAAGGCUGCAUGAACAGAUGCUGAAAUUCUCAGAGACCACAAUUUGUCAUCUCAAAAUAUUUCGGAGAAAAUCACUGCAGAAUUUCACAUUCAUCAUGGCUUUAUUUUUAAAUUAAAGAAGAACAGCAAUCAUUAAAAUUAGCUUUUGCAUAUUCCAGAAAUGCCUUUGACAGUACGUUUGUGCAAAGGAGGAAGGAACUGCAGAGAUAAAUUCCAGUCAUCUCAGUUUUCAAUGGAAAUCAAAAAACGACUGGGAGAAGGUUAAGAAGUAAUGGGGUGAACAUUCUUGAGAAACACUGCAAAAUUACACGGAGCCAUCAUGUUGAACAUGCAGGGCCUAAUCUGAAACCUGCUGAGGUCAAUUAAAAUCUUGAUAUUAAUUUUCUCAGGUUUCAGAUUAACCUCAUCUUUAUUUUGUAGAAUUAUAUUAUGAUGGAUUUUUUCUAUCCUCAGGCUUACAUGCUUUUGUCUUCACACUUUCUGUAAGAUUCCCAAUAAUGCUAUUUUUAAUUUGAUGUUCAGGUUCUACUCCUUCCUGUGAGAAAUACAUUUGUAAUGCAAAUAGAAGCUGGAAAAUGGUUGUCUGAAGGUGGUGUUCUUAUACCCGCACUGUUCUUUCUAAAAUGCCAAGUAUUGUCUGAUGGAAAUAUUUAAUAGUUUGACUCUAAAUUAUUUAAAUAAAUAUCCUUUAUUAAAUUAAAUUGCAGAA